CCUCACUGUGCUUCAAGACCGAUAUUCCAGCACUCAGUGUACCAGGCUUACAAAGUGUUUUGCAACUCUCUGGAGAAUAAAUCAAUAAUAUAUGCUUCUC